rnacentral:tRNA from 1 species
GAGGGUAUAGCUCAGUGGUAGAGUGCACGCUUAGCAUGCACAAGGUCCUAGGUUCAAUCCCCAGUACCUCCA